rfam:Theobroma cacao cultivar Matina 1-6 chromosome 1, whole genome shotgun sequence.
GAGUUAGCGAUGAUUAUAUAAAUAAUUUCUCGUUCUGACUUGAUUAAUUUAAACAUGACUAACCUCUUAUUACAACCAUAGAAUCUGAGCUCC